GUUGAGUUAUCCCUUUUCCUUGGGAAUGAACUGGAUUUAGUUGCUUGAACUGGUGGUGCAUGGCUGUCGUCAGCUCGUGCCGUAAGGUGUUGGGUUAAGUCCCGCAACGAGCACCCAAUUUUGAUUUGCACAUAUAGGACAAAUCUUCCUAUUAUUAUUUCUUUU
rnacentral:rRNA from 1 species